AUGGAACCGCCAUUUGCUAAGGAAAAUAUAUUACUUCUUAAAGGCGUUUCACGUGUUCGCUCUUAUUAUGGUGGUCCUGAGUAUGUUUGCCCGGCGUGCCAUGCUUCAUUUUGGUUUCUGAAGGGCUAUAAGAGUUAUGCUACUGGUGGUGGUCGCCUUCCAGUGUAUACUGGCUGCUGCAAGGGAGGCAAGGUGUCGUUGCCUUCAUUUCCCGAUUGGCCAUCUCCUCUUAAGGAUUUGAUUAAGUUUGAUGGAGGUCCUGUCUCUAGCCGUUUCAUGCGUUUGAUUAGGCAUUACAAUUCUAUGUUUUGCUUCACAUCUCUUGGCGCUCGAGUUGAUCAGAGUAUUAAUGUUGGCGGGGGUCCCUAUGUCUUCAAGAUGAAUGGGGUGGUUUAUCAUCAUAUUGGUCCUCUUCUUCCUUCGGGGAAUAGUGCGCCAAAGUAUGCUCAGCUUUAUAUGGUGGACUCUGCUGAUGAAGUGCAGUUGAGAAUUAGUGCCUUUGAUCAUCAAGGAGCUGAAACGCUUGAUCCUGAUCCAGGCAUUGUGGCUUCUCUUAUUGCUAUGUUAAAUAGGCAUCAUAAAUUGGUGUAUAAGUUUAGAAUGGCUAGGGAAAAUCCGUGUUCUCCUUCUGCUCCUAGGGUGGCUAUACAUUUUAUGGGUGAUGAAGGCGGUGGUCAUGGUGACCGUUUUUCUGGUCCUGCUUCAUGUGAGGUGGCUGCUCUUAUUGUCGGCGAUUACACGUCUGAAUGUAAAAGAUUUGAUGUUAUUGCUGAAACUCGCUCUGGUUUUCUUCAGCAUGUCUCUUCAUUGAAUCCGAGUCUUAUUCCCCUACAGUAUCCUAUGUUAUUUCCCUUUGGUGACAAAGGAUUCCAUCUUGGUAUCAAGUAUAUUGCUACUGGUGGGUUUCAUGGAGAUGGGCAUUGUAAUAUUGGUGGACGUUUACGUGGUCGUUCUUCUCGAGGGCAAGUAUCUAUGAUGGAAUAUUAUAAUUAUUACUUCCAUUAUAGACGGGGGGAGCCAAAUCCUUAUACCUGUUGCGGUCGUUUGAGCCAGCAGAUAGGUGUGAAUUCUUAUUCUUGUGUGGAAGCUAAUCGUUUGGACUUUCACUUUCAGCAACAAGAUGAUUUACGUUCUGAGACGUAUCAAGGUAUUACUGAUGCUGUCGGACAGGGUGCAUCAACUGGUGAGAAUUUGGGGAUUCAGUUUAUAUUACAUUCGAGUUUUACGGGUGGCCCUCGGUACAUGGUGCUUAAUUACCAUGAUGGUAUGGCUAUUUGUCGCGAAUAUGGUGCUCCCGAUCUUUUUGUCACUUUUACAUGCAAUCCAAAGUGGCAAGAAGUUGGUGAUGCUCUCGCAUAUGAAGGUGGUCAGACUCACGUUGAUCGUCCUGACAUUGUUACGCGUGUUUUCAAUAUAAAAUUUGAAGAAUUUUUAGAAGAUGUAAAGGAUGGAUCAGCAUUUGGAGCUAUUCAAGCUUAUUUGUAUGUGGUGGAAUUUCAAAAGAGAGGGCUUCCUCAUACUCAUACUCUUAUCUGGCUUAAAGAGAGUAUGAAGGAUCCUUCGCCUGCUUUUAUAGAUAAUCUGGUGUGUGCUGAGUUACCAGAUCCAAUGGUUGACCCUUUGGGAUAUAUACUUGUGGAUGAAUUCAUGGUUCACGGCCCAUGUGGUAUGUUGGAUGACAAGUGCCCUUGUAUGAAAGAUGGCACUUGCUCAAAGCGAUUUCCAAAGUCAUUUAACAGUGAGACGAUGGUGGAUGAGAUGGGGUUUCCUGUAUAUCGUCGACGCCCCUCUGCUAAUUUUGUUCUUAGAAAGAAGGGGACUCUUCGUUUGGAUAAUCAAUGGGUUGUCCCCUACAAUAUGAAAUUGCUCAAAAAGUUUCAGGCUCAUAUAAAUGUUGAGUGGUGCAAUAAGACAAAUCUUCUUAAGUAUCUGUUUAAGUAUCUCACAAAAGGCCCUGAUGUAGCACGGUUCCGAAUCCGUUCUGAAAAUGAAAAUAGAAGCGUGUAUGCUGUCCGUAAUCCAACUGGGAGGAAUGAAAUCGAUGAAUAUGUUAAAUGCAGGUAUUUAUCUGCUUGCGAAUCAUUUUAG
rnacentral:rRNA from 1 species